rnacentral:rRNA from 1 species
CCUACGGGUGACAGCAGUGAGGAAUCUUGGUCAAUGGGCUUACGCCUGAACCAGCCAAGUCGCGUGAGGGAAGACUGCUCUAUGGGUUGUAAACCUCUUUUGUCAGGGAGCAACGCCGGCUACGUGUAGCCGGACUGAGAGUACCUGAAGAAAACGCAUCGGCUAACUCCGUGCCAGAAGCCGCGGUAGUACGGGGGAUGCGAGCGUUAUCCGGAUUUAUGGGGUUAAAGGGGUGCGUAGGCGGAAUGCCAAGUCAGCGGGAAAAUCGCGGGGCUCAACCUCGCUCCGCCGUUGAAACUGGCGUACUUGAGUGGGCGAGAGGUAUGCGGAAUGCGUGGUGUAGCGGUGAAAUGCAUAGAUAUCACGCAGAACUCCGAUUGCGAAGGCAGCAUACCGGAGCCCAACUGACGCUGAAGCACGAAAGCGUGGGUAUCGAACAGGAUUAGAUACCCGAGUAGUC